ACUACGGGUGGCAGCAGUGGGGAAUAUUGGGCAAUGGGCGCAAGCCUGACCCAGCAACGCCGCGGGAAGGAAGAAGGCUUUCGGGUUGUAAACUUCUUUUGUCAGGGACGAAGCAAGUGACGGUACCUGACGAAUAAGCCACGGCUAACUACGUGCCAGCAGCCGCGGUAAUACGUAGGUGGCAAGCGUUAUCCGGAUUUACUGGGUGUAAAGGGCGUGUAGGCGGGGAAGCAAGUCAGAUGUGAAAACCACGGGCUCAACCGGUGGCCUGCAUUUGAAACUGUUUUUCUUGAGUGCUGGAGAGGCAAUCGGAAUUCCGUGUGUAGCGGUGAAAUGCGUAGAUAUACGGAGGAACACCAGUGGCGAAGGCGGAUUGCUGGACAGUAACUGACGCUGAGGCGCGAAAGCGUGGGGAGCAAACAGGAUUAGAUACCCCAGUAGUC
rnacentral:rRNA from 1 species